UUGGCGGCGUGUCGCCCUGACAUUUUCUCUUUGCAGCGCUCCCCGCAGGACCAAGAGUUGUCUAACUACAGCCUGGAAAAAAUGCAAAACAGACAAAUGCACCCUCCGUGGACAGCGGGAGAAAGCUAAUAGACCAGUCCCCGGCUCCCCACCCGCAGAGGUGGUUUAGCCCUCACCUCAGCUGCUCCAAGACCUGCUCGGAGGCCUGACCUACACCACCGUGUGUCUUCUUCGCCUGAGCCUGGUCAGGAUUCCAGCGAGGGGAAGAUCCAGCCACAGACCUGAAGGGAAAGGAGCGAGUCAAGACACCAGCUGAGAAAUUCAUGCUAAUUUGGAACUACCCAGAAAUGUCAUCUUAACAUGCUUUCUCUUUAUAAUUAAAGUUUAAAUGAUA